CCUACGGGAGGCAGCAGUGGGGAAUAUUGUCCAAUGGGCGCNAGCNUGAUCCACCCAUACCGCGUGGGUGANGAAGGCCUUCGGNUUGUAAAGCCCUNUNGUUGGGAAAGAAAANCNNGCGGCUAAUACCCGGUUGUNCUGACGGUNCCCAAAGAAUAAGCACCGGCUAACUUCGUGCCAGCAGCCGCGGUAAUACGAAGGGUGCAAGCGUUACUCGGAAUUACUGGGCGUAAAGCGUGCGUAGGNGGUUGGUUAAGUCUGGUGUGAAAGCCCUGGGCUCAACCUGGGAAUUGCANUGGAUACUGGNCGACUAGAGUGUGGNAAAGGGNACUGGAAUUCCCGGUGUAGCAGUGAAAUGCGUAAAGAUCGGGAGGAACAUCCAUGGCGAAGGCAGCUNCCUGGACCNACACUGACACUGAGGCACGAAAGCGUGGGGAGCAAACAGGAUUAGAUACCCUGGUAGUCCACGCCCUAAACGAUGCCAACUGGAUGUUGGGUGCAAUUUGNCACNCAGNAUCCAAGCUANCGCGUUAAGUUCGCCGCCUGGAGAGCACNGNCNCNAGACUGA
rnacentral:rRNA from 1 species